rnacentral:lncRNA from 1 species
GAAGAGGAGAAACGGCGAAACCCCAUAGGGAAUCCGCGAACGACUCAAAGGGUAAACCAAAGCAAUAGUGAGGAAAAGCAUUACCUCCGUUUUCGUCGAUCAAUCCAAGCUGCAACGGGUUAGUGCCAUCUUUGAUCUAUUUCGCCUUUGACAUAGCUUCAAGAUUAUUUUCUCGCGUGUUCGCAUUACUGUCAUGUUG